UGUAGCUUUAUCUUGCCUUUAAGGAACUACCACCCGACACUUAGCUGAAAGCAACCCAAUCAACUCGCUCACGAGAGGGUGGGUGGUCCGGUCGGUGGGGUCAGUCCGGUGGUGAGGAGGGAUGAAAAGAGGAAAAGAAGUAAGCGGUGGGAUAUAGAGGAAGCAGAAGAGAGGAGGAGGGGUGGUUGUUCCCCUAGGUGCGAGCGAACUAAAAGUAAAGCCUUCUUAUUUAAAUUAAAAACCAGAGUCUCAUCUUCCACUCCUCUUCUCUACCCGCCUGCCCACCUAGUGCUCAUGAGGAUGGACAAGUUCUACCACGAGUAGCCCCUAUCGCCGCAGCCGUUCAGGUUGUAUGAGAGGGCUAAGUGGGCGUUGGUGAAGAGGGAGCUGAGGUUCAGGUGGUAGCCGCACCUCAAGCGGUGGUUCAGGAACGUCUACCUCCCUUUUUGUUAUUUCCGAGUCUAGACCCUGUGACGACCGGUCCUCUCCAUGGCACGUUAAUGUUCGCGUAUAAUGGCCCCGCGACAUCCCCGAGAGGAACAUAUACUGUAGUGUUUCUUCGUCUCGAAACUGUUACAAUUAUCCACCGACGCACUCGAAGCACUAGUACGACUGAGGUCGUAACAGUAGUACUACCAGCCAUUGUUCAGACUGGACUGUGUUGAUUCUCGACAGAGACUUCUAGUUCCGUUCCGUGACCGACUUUUCCUCCCGGACAAAAAGGAACUCUGUAGUCGAUACCUCCGACAUUUACACCAUCUUCGGAAAGUCUGAUAGUAGUGUCUCCAGAUACCAUAACAGUUGUUCUUUCGUGACCGGCGGUUUCUUCGUCGUCGUCGUCGACAAGGUAACGGAAGGGUCCCAUUUUGGUAGUCGUAACUGUCAUGACGGCCCUUGAGUUUCUCCCGUACGACGUUAUGAACUUUACAUCUGUAGUAUGGCAUCUCUUAGCCCUCGCCCUUAGUAGUCGUCUCGUCGAAUCAACUUGACCACGCUUCCGUAAAGAUGAGAAAAACAAAGAGACAACACGCUUGUAGGACCUCAUGUGACGGCAUCCCCGUCAAACAAGUCGUAAAGACCUUCAAUCUACACACAUAAUCCUAAGACAAGGUAAAAGGUGAUACUUUCAAUGUAAUAUGAUGUUACAUACAGCCUAAUAUGUAGUAUGGACUAUCCUGGGUUUUGUUCAAAGCAAUUUG
rnacentral:rRNA from 1 species